CAAGAAGGAAGUGAACACUGGCUGUGUGCCUGGCACUGUUAGGAGCCAUCAAACCAUGUCCAGAAAGGACGCAGGGAAAGGAGAUGUCGAUGUUUCCAGACAUUUUGUGAUGUGAAGAGAGCGCCUGAAGGUUUUUGAUGAUGCUUAACUCACGUGCUUUGCUUAAAGAACUGCAGGGACUGACCUGAAACGCUAAGCAUGGAAUCCAGGUUGCAGAACAUCCCACUCUGGAAAGAAGGCUGAGCCGUUCAUCUGUAUUCCUGUUGCAAUCAAGCUAAUG
rnacentral:lncRNA from 10 species